CAAUAGCGUAUAUUAAAGUUGUUGCAGUUAAAAAGCUCGUAGUUGGACUUCUGAUGUGGAGGGACGGUCCGCCUCACGGUGAGCACUGAUUCUUCACGUCUUCCUCUCGUAGUCUUUUGGCGCACUUAGUUGGGUGCCUUUAGAAUAUGGGACCUUUACUUUGAAAAAAUUAGAGUGUUCAAAGCAGGCAAUCGCUUGAAUACAUUAGCAUGGAAUAAUAGAAUAGGACUUUGGUUCUAUUUUGUUGGUUUCUAGGACCGAAGUAAUGAUUAACAGGGACAGUCAGGGGCACUCGUAUUCCGCCGAGAGAGGUGAAAUUCUCAGACCAGCGGAAGACGAACCACUGCGAAAGCAUUUGCCAGGGAUGUUUUUCACUGAUCAAGAACGAAAGUUAGGGGAUCGAAGACGAUCAGAU
rnacentral:rRNA from 1 species